rnacentral:rRNA from 1 species
GAUGAACGCUGGCGGCGUGCCUAAUACAUGCAAGUCGAGCGAACGGACGAGGAGCUUGCUUCUCUGAUGUUAGCGGCGGACAGGUGAGUAACACGUGGAUAACCUACCUAUAAGACUGGGAUAACUUCGGGAAACCGGAGCUAAUACCGGAUAAUAUUUUGAACCGCAUGGUUCAAAAGUGAAAGACGGUCUUGCUGUCACUUAUAGAUGGAUCCGCGCUGCAUUAGCUAGUUGGUAAGGUAACGGCUUACCAAGGCAACGAUGCGUAGCCGACCUGAGAGGGUGAUCGGCCACACUGGAACUGAGACACGGUCCAGACUCCUACGGGAGGCAGCAGUAGGGAAUCUUCCGCAAUGGGCGAAAGCCUGACGGAGCAACGCCGCGUGAGUGAUGAAGGUCUUCGGAUCGUAAAACUCUGUUAUUAGGGAAGAACAUAUGUGUAAGUAACUGUGCACAUCUUGACGGUACCUAAUCAGAAAGCCACGGCUAACUACGUG